ACGCUCGACACCUACGGGGCAGCAGUGGGGAAUAUUGCACAAUGGGGGAAACCCUGAUGCAGCAACGCCGCGUGAAGGAAGACGGUUUCGGAUUGUAAACUUCUGUUCUUAGUGAAGAUAGUGACGGUAGCUAAGGAGCAAGCCACGGCUAACUACGUGCCGGCAGCCGCGGUAAUCUGAGCGGGCUGGCAAGGC
rnacentral:rRNA from 1 species